UGCUCAGGACGAACGCUGGCGGCGUGCCUAAUACAUGCAAGUCGAACGAGGUUUGGUCAGUUUGCGGUGGUGCUUGCAUCACCAAUUACCGAUCAAACCGAGUGGCGGACGGGUGAGUAACACGUGGGUAACCUGCCCUUCAGCAGGGGAUAACAUUUGGAAACAGAUGCUAAUACCGUAUAACCACGGAGACCGCAUGGUCUCCGGGUAAAAGAUGGCGCAAGCUAUCACUGAAGGAUGGACCCGCGGCGUAUUAGCCAGUUGGUGGGGUAACGGCCUACCAAAGCGAUGAUACGUAGCCGACCUGAGAGGGUAAUCGGCCACAUUGGGACUGAGACACGGCCCAAACUCCUACGGGAGGCAGCAGUAGGGAAUCUUCCACAAUGGACGCAAGUCUGAUGGAGCAACGCCGCGUGAGUGAAGAAGGCUUUCGGGUCGUAAAACUCUGUUAUUGAAGAAGAACGUGUGUGACAGUAACUGGUCAUGCAGUGACGGUAUUCAAUCAGAAAGUCACGGCUAACUACGUGCCAGCAGCCGCGGUAAUACGUAGGUGGCAAGCGUUGUCCGGAUUUAUUGGGCGUAAAGCGAGUGCAGGCGGUCUUUUAAGUCUGAUGUGAAAGCCUUCGGCUUAACCGAAGAAGGGCAUCGGAAACUGGGAGACUUGAGUGCAGAAGAGGAGAGUGGAACUCCAUGUGUAGCGGUGAAAUGCGUAGAUAUAUGGAAGAACUACCAGUGGCGAAGGCGGCUCUCUGGUCUGUAACUGACGC
rnacentral:rRNA from 1 species